CCUACGGGAGGCAGCAGUGGGGAAUAUUGGACAAUGGGCGAAAGCCUGAUCCAGCCAUGCCGCGUGUGUGAAGAAGGCCUUCGGGUUGUAAAGCACUUUCAGUGGGGAAGAAAGCCUUGGGGCUAAUACCCUCGAGGAAGGACAUCACCCACAGAAGAAGCACCGGCUAACUCCGUGCCAGCAGCCGCGGUAAUACGGAGGGUGCGAGCGUUAAUCGGAAUUACUGGGCGUAAAGCGCGCGUAGGCGGUCUGAUAAGCCGGUUGUGAAAGCCCCGGGCUCAACCUGGGAACGGCAUCCGGAACUGUCAGGCUAGAGUGCAGGAGAGGAAGGUAGAAUUCCCGGUGUAGCGGUGAAAUACGUAGAGAUCGGGAGGAAUACCAGUGGCGAAGGCGGCCUUCUGGACUGACACUGACGCUGAGGUGCGAAAGCGUGGGUAGCAAACAGGAUUAGAUACCCCAGUAGUC
rnacentral:rRNA from 1 species